rnacentral:rRNA from 1 species
CAAAAUAAGGCAAGUCGUAACACAGUUGAUAUUUUGGAAAAAGUAUCAAG